rnacentral:tmRNA from 1 species
GGGGCCGACUGGUUUCGACAUGGCAAGUUAUCGCAUGAGGAGCAGGCCGUGUUCUCCUAAACACGCUAAUAAUGGGUAAAGUCAAAUUAAUUGGCAAAGCUAAAACUUCAAGCGCAGGAUUCGCUCCUGUCGCUAUGGCUGCUUAAUUUAGUCAGCCUCGUCUCUCUCGAUAUCCCCGCUUCGAGAUGCAGAUGUCAUUUUUAGGGGUGCCUCACCUUUGAGACCUUCGACCGCUCGCUUGUGAGAAAGACAAAGUUCGAAUCGAAUGUGACGUUUGUGCAAUUGACCGAAGCAUUUUAAAGCCUGACGAAUUGCACUAAGCUUGUAGAGCCUAAUGCGAGGUUUGGUGUGGAUCGGGGUUCGACUCCCCGCGGCUCCACCA